rnacentral:rRNA from 1 species
CUCGGACCUUGUACACACCGCCCGUCACGCCACGAAAGCCGUCUACACCCGAAAUUAUUUUAGCUAACCGUAAAGGAGGCGGAUAAUGAAGGUGAAGGAGGGUGAUUGGGUG